ACGUUACGCGCAGCUAAUACAUGUAAAGUGCAGCGCAAGCGCCGGCCUGGAUGCACCGCGUGACGACAGUCGCCUACACGUGCCGCCGAGUCAGCGCAACGUGCCUUCAAAUCCGGGAAUUGCGCGACACAUCGCGCAAUACUCACUUUUGGUUCUAACAUCGACCAUUAGACUUCAUUUUAGUUUUAUGUUGUAAUUUUAUUUCAUUUAAUAAAUUAGUUAAAUAAAUUUUGGUUUUUUUUAAAGUCUUCGGCUGCAGUAAACUUAACUGGCGCAGUCGGUAGGAUCUCGAGUCAGUUCGUGCGCGACAAGAUUUCCGCUAUAUCCCGGUUCGAGUCCCGCGUGACUGACUGGCAUUCCAGCCCUCAUCGAGAUCGUCGAAUCUACGGAAUCUGCAGCCCGGAGGUGUAUCCGAACAUUGAUACAGCAGAAAAACCAAGAUAUGUAUAUCGACAGAAUGUCCGAAGGUCAACACUUGGUACAUAUGCAAAGAAGAGCUGCAACAAAAGAUUCGAGACAAUGAAGAUUGUAUCCAGCAUCUCAUCAUGGACCAGUCAAUCAGUUCAUCUUGUCAAUUCAUUCAUGCAAACCUUACCAGCUCAGCCCUCGAGAAGCUAGACGAUCAACACUAUACUAUCAGCCUGCCAACCACAACCAGACUACAUAUAUCCUGUAGACAAGAGUAUUACAAGAAUCUCCAAGGAACCUAUCUAGUGUCCGUCCCGCCUAGUUGUAUGUUGAAAACGUUGGACUUUGUUAUCUCAAACGUUCAGAAUCGUAUUAAAGGACACGCUGUACAAAUAGCGGAACUACCAACUGAGGAGCUCGCCACAUCAAAGCUUCAGCCAACUGUAAGACUAAACUCCAUCAAUUUAGAACAUCUACAUGAGACGAACGCUAAGAUAUCGCUACAGCAUCCUGCGACAUUACAGAAAAACGAUCUGAGCAGCCUCUACCAUACCACUAUACCUUCAUAUACGUUAUUAUUUGGAACAUUCAUAUUCGCCCUCAUCCUGACAUUAUACUGGAAACUCCGUCGCAGAAGUUCAAAAUCAAAGGAUGAAGAUAUCCCGAAGGCUGAUUAUCCCGAUGGACAUUAUUCCCGUAUCCAAGACAUCAAGCCUAAAGAUGUGAAAAUCGACAUCAGCAACAUUCCGGCAAUAUCCUCAGUAAGACCUACGGAUAGUUGCCGAUCUGCGGGGGGAGGCGUUACGCGCAGCUAAUACAUGUAAAGUGCAGCGCAAGCGCCGGCCUGGAUGCACCGCGUGACGACAGUCGCCUACACGUGCCGCCGAGUCAGCGCAACGUGCCUUCAAAUCCGGGAAUUGCGCGACACAUCGCGCAAUACUCACUUUUGGUUCUAACAUCGACCAUUAGACUUCAUUUUAGUUUUAUGUUGUAAUUUUAUUUCAUUUAAUAAAUUAGUUAAAUAAA